rnacentral:rRNA from 1 species
AUUGAACGCUGGCGGCAGGCUUAACACAUGCAAGUCGAGCGAGCGGCGGACUGGCGAGCAAUGUCUGGGAACCUGCCUGAUGGAGGGGGAUAACUGCUGGAAACGGUGGCUAAUACCGCUUACGAUCGGAUCUGCCGAGAUGGGAUUAGCUAGCGGGUGGGGUAAAGGCCCACCAAGACGACGAUCCAUAGCUGGUCUGAGAGGCUGACCAGCCACACUGGGACUGAGACACGGUCCAGACUCCUACGGGAGGCAGCAGUAGGGAAUAUUGCGCAAUGGACGAAAGCCUGAUGCAGCCAUGCCGCGUGUGUGAAGAAGGCCUUCGGAUUGUAAAGUUCUUUCGUCGGGGAAGCGUUACCCACAGAAGAAGCACCGGCUAACUCCGUGCCAGCAGCCGCGGUAAUAC